rnacentral:misc_RNA from 1 species
GCAGUGCUGUUGUUGAUGACGGGGUGAUCAACAAGGAAGAUUUUCAGUUUGCACUAUUCAAGACUAACAAAAAGGAGAGCUUAUUUGCUGACCGGGUGUUUGACUUAUUUGAUACAAAACACAAUGGAAUUCUCGGAUUUGAGGAGUUUGCACGUGCUCUCUCCGUCUUUCAUCCUAAUGCUCCCAUUGAUGAGAAAAUCGAGUUUUCUUUCCAACUAUAUGAUCUCAAACAGCAAGGAUUCAUUGAAAGACAAGAGGUGAAACAAAUGGUAGUGGCUACUCUUGCUGAGUCGGG